AGAGUUUGAUCCUGGCUCAGGAUGAACGCUGGCGGCGUGCCUAAUACAUGCAAGUCGAGCGAACGGACGAGAAGCUUGCUUCUCUGAUGUUAGCGGCGGACGGGUGAGUAACACGUGGAUAACCUACCUAUAAGACUGGGAUAACUUCGGGAAACCGGAGCUAAUACCGGAUAAUAUUUUGAACCGCAUGGUUCAAAAGUGAAAGACGGUCUUGCUGUCACUUAUAGAUGGAUCCGCGCUGCAUUAGCUAGUUGGUAAGGUAACGGCUUACCAAGGCAACGAUGCAUAGCCGACCUGAGAGGGUGAACGGCCACACUGGAACUGAGACACGGUCCAGACUCCUACGGGAGGCAGCAGUAGGGAAUCUUCCGCAAUGGGCGAAAGCCUGACGGAGCAACGCCGCGUGAGUGAUGAAGGUCUUCGGAUCGUAAAACUCUGUUAUUAGGGAAGAACAUAUGUGUAAGUAACUGUGCACAUCUUGACGGUACCUAAUCAGAAAGCCACGGCUAACUACGUGCCAGCAGCCGCGGUAAUACGUAGGUGGCAAGCGUUAUCCGGAAUUAUUGGGCGUAAAGCGCGCGUAGGCGGUUUUUUAAGUCUGAUGUGAAAGCCCACGGCUCAACCGUGGAGGGUCAUUGGAAACUGGAAAACUUGAGUGCAGAAGAGGAAAGUGGAAUUCCAUGUGUAGCGGUGAAAUGCGCAGAGAUAUGGAGGAACACCAGUGGCGAAGGCGACUUUCUGGUCUGUAACUGACGCUGAUGUGCGAAAGCGUGGGGAUCAAACAGGAUUAGAUACCCUGGUAGUCCACGCCGUAAACGAUGAGUGCUAAGUGUUAGGGGGUUUCCGCCCCUUAGUGCUGCAGCUAACGCAUUAAGCACUCCGCCUGGGGAGUACGACCGCAAGGUUGAAACUCAAAGGAAUUGACGGGGACCCGCACAAGCGGUGGAGCAUGUGGUUUAAUUCGAAGCAACGCGAAGAACCUUACCAAAUCUUGACAUCCUUUGACAACUCUAGAGAUAGAGCCUUCCCCUUCGGGGGGGCAAAGUGACAGGUGGUGCAUGGUUGUCGUCAGCUCGUGUCGUGAGAUGUUGGGUUAAGUCCCGCAACGAGCGCAACCCUUAAGCUUAGUUGCCAUCAUUAAGUUGGGCACUCUAAGUUGACUGCCGGUGACAAACCGGAGGAAGGUGGGGAUGACGUCAAAUCAUCAUGCCCCUUAUGAUUUGGGCUACACACGUGCUACAAUGGACAAUACAAAGGGCAGCGAAACCGCGAGGUCAAGCAAAUCCCAUAAAGUUGUUCUCAGUUCGGAUUGUAGUCUGCAACUCGACUACAUGAAGCUGGAAUCGCUAGUAAUCGUAGAUCAGCAUGCUACGGUGAAUACGUUCCCGGGUCUUGUACACACCGCCCGUCACACCACGAGAGUUUGUAACACCCGAAGCCGGUGGAGUAACCUUUUAGGAGCUAGCCGUCGAAGGUGGGACAAAUGAUUGGGGUGAAGUCGUAACAAGGUAGCCGUAUCGGAAGGUGCGGCUGGAUCACCU
rnacentral:rRNA from 1 species